rnacentral:rRNA from 1 species
AUGAGUGGCAUGACUAGAUGCUACAGCCGACAACAAAAAUGUUGCAAGCAUGCUGCAAGCAAGACAACAAACGCUACAAUCGUUGUGACUAUAUGCUGCAACCAACGACAAAGUUUUUGCAAGCAGGCUACAAGCAACACAACAGACACUACAACCGUUGGGACUAUUUGUUGCAACUAUCAAUGGCGGAUGUGUGACCGAUGGGACGACAUGCUACGAUCGACGAGGGCAGAUGCUAGAAUCAGCAAGACAGAUGCUGCAACCGAUAGAAAGAUAUGUUGCAAACAGUGGUACAAAAUGCUGAAGGUCCGUUGA